rnacentral:rRNA from 1 species
CAAUAGCGUAUAUUUAAGUUGUUGCAGUUAAAAAGCUCGUAGUUGGAUUUCGGUUAAGAGCGACCGGUCCGCCGUUUGGUGUGCACUGGUUGGUUUUAACUUCCUGUAGAGGACGUGCUCUGGGUUUAACGACCUGGACUCGGAGUCUACGUGGUUACUUUGAAAAAAUUAGAGUGUUCAAAGCGGGCUUACGCUUGAAUAUUUCAGCAUGGAAUAACACUAUAGGACUCCUGUCCUAUUUCGUUGGUCUCGGGACGGGAGUAAUGAUUAAGAGGAACAGUUGGGGGCAUUCGUAUUUCAUUGUCGGAGGUGAAAUUCUUGGAUUUAUGAAAGACGAACUUCUGCGAAAGCAUUUGCCAAGGAUGUUUUCAUUAA